AGGUAAAAUGGGUAUGCGAAAAUAAAAAUCUGUUUAUAGUUUUAAAUAUAUUUACUCCUUUUUUGCUUCAAAUUGUUAAAUAAAUCUAUUGCAGCCGUGUUUUGAUUUAAUGAAUUAUAUAAAUCUGUGUCAAUGAAAAUUGCGUUUUUAAGUAAUUGAUGAUUCCUCUGAAGGGCAAGUUCCUGUUUUAAAGACGUCUAACUCUUUGCUGUAAUGAUUUAAUUUUUUUACAUUUUUUUUUUAAAUAAAGUUCCUUUCCUGUUUUUUUACAUUUCUCUUAGUUUAUGUUUUCUAGGUGUAUCAAAGAUUGAAUCUUGGUUAACGACUGAUUUAGACUCAUC
rnacentral:misc_RNA from 1 species